UACGUAGGGGGCGAGCGUUGUCCGGAAUUAUUGGGCGUAAAGCGCGUGUAGGCGGUCCGGUAAGUCGGCUGUGAAAGUCCAGGGCUCAACCCUGGGAUGCCCGGUCGAUACUGCCGGACUAGAGUUCGGAAGAGGCGAGUGGAAUUCCCGGUGUGAGCGGUGAAUGCGCAGAUAUCGGGAGGAACACCAAUGGCGAAGGCAGCUCGCUGGGACGUUACUGACGCUGAGACGCGAAAGCGUGGGGAGCAAACAGGG
rnacentral:rRNA from 1 species